CGCACAUUGCGCCCUUUGGUAUUCCGAAGGGCAUGCCCGUUCGAGCGUCAUUUCACCACUCAAGCUUGGCUUGGUAUUGGGCGCCGCGUCCUCCGCGCGCCUCAAAGUCUCCGGCCCCGUGGCCCGUCCCUGAGCGUUGUGGCACUUAUGUUCCGCUCUAGGUGACCGGUGGCGGUUGGCCGUUAAAACUCAUCAAAGGUUGACCUCGGAUCGGGUAGGGAUACCCGCUGAACUUAA
rnacentral:misc_RNA from 1 species